CUUAAGAAACAACAUAGUUAUGUGAAAAAUUUGGAACAAUCAAAAUUUUCAAGCAAAAAUAAAGUACCUAAUGAAGUUGAAGAUUUCUUCUUUUUUCCUCCAAACCCUUUUUUUCCACCACCUAUUAUCCCUAAUCCACUUCAACCUCCACCUUUGAUUCCUAACCCUUUGCAACCACCACCUUUGAUUCCAAAUCCAUUUCAACCACCAAGUCCACCCUUGAUUCCUAAUCCAUUUCAACCACCAAGUCCACCACUUAUUCCAAAUCCAUUUCAACCUCCUCCAUCAAAUCCACCACUUAUUCCUAAUCCAUUUCAACCUCCCCCAGCAAGUC
rnacentral:lncRNA from 1 species